UACGAAGGGAGCUAGCGUUGUUCGGAAUUACUGGGCGUAAAGCGCACGUAGGCGGCCGAUCAAGUCAGAGGUGAAAGCCCGGGGCUCAACCUGGGAAUAGCCUUUGAUACUAGAUGGCUUGAGUCUUGGAGAGGUCAGUGGAAUUCCGAGUGUAGAGGUGAAAUUCGUAGAUAUUCGGAAGAACACCAGUGGCGAAGGCGACUGACUGGACAAGUAUUGACGCUGAGGCGCGAAAGCGUGGGGAGCAAACAGG
rnacentral:rRNA from 1 species